rnacentral:rRNA from 1 species
UACAGAGGUGGCAAGCGUUGUUCGGAAUUACUGGGCGUAAAGGGCGCGUAGGCGGCCUUCUAAGUCGGACGUGAAAUCCCCAGGCUUAACUUGGGAAUGGCGUCUGAUACUGGAGGGCUCGAGUGCGGGAGAGGGAUGUGGAAUUCCAGGUGUAGCGGUGAAAUGCGUAGAUAUCUGGAGGAACACCGGUGGCGAAGGCGGCAUCCUGGACCGACACUGACGCUGAGGGCGCGAAAGCUAGGGGAGCAAACGGG